GGGUCCGUAGCUCAACGGAUAGAGUACUUGGCUUCGAACCAAGUGAUCCGGGUUCGAUUCCUGGCGGGCCCACCA
rnacentral:tRNA from 2 species